rnacentral:snoRNA from 1 species
AUUCUAUGAUGAAUCACACUAGUUCACUAUAACCAAAAAUAAAAACGUUAACAUCUAUCUGAGAAAC